GCCUUCACCAGCAUCUGCUUGUACUUAAGAUAAGGAAAAGAAGACCAUCAGUCUGGACGGAGGCAUUUCUUUGUCACUCCCCACCCUGCUUAGCGUUUAUGCUUUCUCUGAAACUUGUACACCUCUGAAGUCACACAAGGCAGCUGCUCCGAGCUUUUCUGCUAUUUGAAGCUUCUUCUGGGAACCAGCUGUGACCAGAGGAGUAGCCCCAGCCAUCCGGGCAAGUUGGAUGGCAGCUGUGCCCACACCGCUUGCUCCUGCAUGGAUUAGCACAGAGUCUCCAGCCUGAACAUUUCCUGUGAUAGAAAGUAUAGGAACCAUGUUCUUUACUUUGCAACUGCUGUACCUUUACCACAUAGGUUUAUUCUACCGUGAUCACCUGGCCCUGGAACCACCAAAUGGGAAAUCUCUUGCUGUCUUUUUUAAAAAUUAUUUUUAUUUAUUCAUUUGGCUGCAUUGUGGCAUGCAGGAUCUUUGAUCUUCGAUGCAGUAUGCAAAUUAUUAUUCGUGGCAUGUGGCAUCUGGUUCCCUGACCAGAUUGAACCUGGGUCCCCUGCAUUGGGAAUGUGGAGUCAUAGCCACUGGACCACCAGGGAAGUUCUCAUCCUUCGCUUGAGAGUGAAGCAGCCAAUCUCACCUUGAUGCUCUUAGGCCACCUUGGUAUGCCUUUUGUCCAUCACAGCUCUACCACCCUUCAAGUCCUUCUAUUCCAGAAAGCCUUCUCUGACCUUCGCCCAUACCAACCUUUCUCACCUUAAGCUUCUGUUAUAGUUUGUAGUUAGAGACAGGGCCACCCUUCCAAACACUGUGGUUUUCUUCCCAGUUACACUGAUUUCCCCAAAGGCAGAGACCCUCACGUGAGCUCUUGGCUGGCCUCCGUGGGAAUGAGGAGGAAUUAAAGAGUUGGUUGAAUGGCUCCCUCUGCUGCACUAGGGCUCUCAGAGAGCUUAGCAAGACUGAGAAGCAGGGACUACUACUGGGCUUACAGUGUGAAGAUGCACACAGGCCUUCUAUCCAGUGCUCACCAGGUUUUCUAUCUGCUAACCAUGAUUUUCAGCCUCAAUAUCAAGCCAUUGCUACAUAGUAUGAGGAUCUGAUACUAAGUAGGGGGUGCUGGGGUUGGCUGUUGCUCAGUGGCCAGAUCAAAGCUUCCCUUCAGGACUGCUGGGUUUUGAGGUGGCUGAGUUAUGAAUAAAUGAAUAAAU